rnacentral:rRNA from 1 species
UACCUGCAGCUCAAGUGGUGACCACUAUUAUUGGGCCUAAAACGUUCGUAGCCGGUUUGGUAAAUGCCUGGGUAAAUCGUGUAGCUUAACUAUACGAAUUCCGGGUAGACUGCCAAACUUGAGACCGGGAGAAGCUAGAGGUACUCCUGGGGUAGAGGUGAAAUUCUGUAAUCCUGGGGGGACCACCAGUGGCGAAGGCAUCUAGCUAGAACGGGUUUGACGGUGAGGAACGAAGCCCUGGGGCGCAAACCGGAUUAGAUACCCGGGUAGUCCAGGGUGUAAACGCUGCUUGCUUGAUGUUAGUUGGGCUCCGAGCCCAAUUAGUGUCGGAGAGAAGUUGUUAAGCAAGCUGCCUAGGAAGUACGAUCGCAAGAUUGAAACUUAAAGGAAUUGGCGGGGGAGCACAGCAACGGGUGGAGCGUGCGGUUU